AAAUGCAAGUUUUCCAGCCACAGGGCAUUGUGCACUGUUAAUGUGGCUUGUAGUCAGCCUCCUUUUCUCCUCAGAGAAGGAGGCUCUAAAGUAAACCAGGUUUUCCUAGAUAGUUUUCUUAACCCUGAGACUCCCAGCUCAGUGGUGGAGUUGGGUAAAAGCCCCAGUGUGCAUUUCGGAUGAGCACGGUGACCUGAGAGCAUGCAGUUGGAGUUUCCAGUGGGGUGUUUUUCUCCAAGUUGACAUGUGCAGUCAGUCCUCACAUUGUCUCAUCAAAGUUGGAACCCUUUCCUGUGCCCUUGACUAUGUGAGCCCAGAGGACAGCGAGACUAGGAGAUGCCCAGACACAUCAGAUAGUAGUAACUCCACUGGUUGACGAUGCCAAGUUGUGUUAAACUAUAAUUAAUCGUUUGGAUGACAGUAUUUAUCUCUUUGUUGUAAGCUCAUAGCCGAAUUGCUUAAGUACAAUUUAUAUUAUACAGUUUUAGUGCAGUUAAUUCUUAACAGAAAACCUGAAGUCUAAAUUGCAGAUUUAAAAGGUACUGUACACCCAUGCUGCCUGUAAAUAACUUUACUUGGCACCUUUUGUCACUUAGGAUAGGACGUAAUACAACUUGAGUGAAUGCUUGGGACGUGUUGUCGAGUUCUAGUGUUGCUUCUCGUGUUGGACUGUGUUCCCGGUUCUGUCCUAGCCAUUUGCACUACAGUAGCCAAAUCCAUUCCUGUGUGUUGCCGUGCUCUGUAACUGCUGCCGGGUGCUCCUCGGCCCUCAUGCCAGCUGCUGCAGGAGGUUGCUUUCUGUCCCAUGGCUAUUGCCAGGGCUUCCUGAAAGAAAUGCUACAUUUGUAUGCAACAGUAACCCUUUAACUGCUAAACGUAUGUUUCUGCUUGCUGUGCCUUGUUCUGGCUGCUUUUCCGUGCUAAUAAAGUAUGUUUGGUGUUCUUG
rnacentral:lncRNA from 1 species